CGGCAGAGAAGCUUGACUGGCUUCAUGUGAGAGAAGCACCUAAGCCUCUAAGAACACGUUUACAUUCAGAGGAAAACUAAACAAAUUCCCAUAAAAGCUACAGCACAUGGAACAAAGCAUAGAAAAUGCUUUCCAGGUUUAUUGCUUUAAAGAACCAACGCUAAUUAAAACUCGACCGAGAGCUGCUUCGUUGAGAUUCAGAUUGAAUAAAUAACGAAGGAAGAUCUGCAAUUAGAGUAUCGUAGCUUGGCCCCAGCACAAACGCUGCCAACAUCUGCGGAUAUUAUGUACACAAAAGAUAAGAAGUUGUCUAAACCUACAUUCCUUCCC